rnacentral:rRNA from 2 species
GGGUUGUGAGGUUAAGUGACUAAGCGUACACGGUGGAUGCCUAGGCAGUCAGAGGCGAUGAAGGGCGUGCUAAUCUGCGAAAAGCGUCGGUAAGGUGAUAUGAACCGUUACAACCGGCGAUACCCGAAUGGGGAAACCCAGUGUGUUUCGACACACUAUCAUGUCAUGAAUACAUAGUGGCAUGAGGCGAACCGGGGGAACUGAAACAUCUAAGUACCCCGAGGAAAAGAAAUCAACCGAGAUUCCCCCAGUAGCGGCGAGCGAACGGGGAGGAGCCCAGAACCUGAAUCGGCUUGUGUGUUAGUGGAAGCGUCUGGAAAGUCGCGCAGUAAAGGGUGAUAGCCCCGUACACUAAAAUGCACAGGUCGUGAGUUCGAUGAGUAGGGCGGGACACGUGACAUCCUGUCUGAAUAUGGGGGGACCAUCCUCCAAGGCUAAAUACUCCUGACUGACCGAUAGUGAACCAGUACCGUGAGGGAAAGGCGAAAAGAACCCCGGCGAGGGGAGUGAAAUAGAACCUGAAACCGUGUACGUACAAGCAGUGGGAGCACCUUCGUGGUGUGACUGCGUACCUUUUGUAUAAUGGGUCAGCGACUUAUAUUUUGUAGCAAGGUUAACCGUAUAGGGGAGCCGUAGGGAAACCGAGUCUUAACUGGGCGAAUAGUUGCAAGGUAUAGACCCGAAACCCGGUGAUCUAGCCAUGGGCAGGUUGAAGGUUGGGUAACACUAACUGGAGGACCGAACCGACUAAUGUUGAAAAAUUAGCGGAUGACUUGUGGCUGGGGGUGAAAGGCCAAUCAAACCGGGAGAUAGCUGGUUCUCCCCGAAAGCUAUUUAGGUAGCGCCUCGUGAACUCAUCUUCGGGGGUAGAGCACUGUUUCGGCUAGGGGGCCAUCCCGGCUUACCAAACCGAUGCAAACUCCGAAUACCGAAGAAUGUUAUCACGGGAGACACACGGCGGGUGCUAACGUCCGUCGUGAAGAGGGAAACAACCCAGACCGCCAGCUAAGGUCCCAAAGUCAUGGUUAAGUGGGAAACGAUGUGGGAAGGCAUAGACAGCCAGGAUGUUGGCUUAGAAGCAGCCAUCAUUUAAAGAAAGCGUAAUAGCUCACUGGUCGAGUCGGCCUGCGCGGAAGAUGUAACGGGGCUAAACCAUGCACCGAAGCUGCGGCAGCGACGCUUAGGCGUUGUUGGGUAGGGGAGCGUUCUGUAAGCCGUUGAAGGUGGCCUGUGAGGGUUGCUGGAGGUAUCAGAAGUGCGAAUGCUGACAUAAGUAACGAUAAAGCGGGUGAAAAGCCCGCUCGCCGGAAGACCAAGGGUUCCUGUCCAACGUUAAUCGGGGCAGGGUGAGUCGACCCCUAAGGCGAGGCUGAAAAGCGUAGUCGAUGGGAAACAGGUUAAUAUUCCUGUACUUGGUGUUACUGCGAAGGGGGGACGGAGAAGGCUAGGCUAGCCGGGCGACGGUUGUCCCGGUUUAAGCGUGUAGGGGGUGUGACCUGGUAAAUCCGGUU